CAAUGACAUGAGGACGUGGAUAUUGCAUCGAAUUGUUCUUACAGGGGCCGUUGAAAGGUACGCGUACAAUUUAUAGAUCUAACAAUAUACAAUUUACUAAUACAAUACAUGUACUGUAUCCAUGAGAGAACAGAAAGAUGAACUAUUUGAAACGACCAUGAUGAGGAUCCACAUUCUAGUGACUGCACUAUAGGGACAGGGACAGAAACAACAAUUCAUCAAAAAUCAGAUACGAAAAGUAAACGUUGUUCACCAGACGAACACCUUACAGCUAAUGACUCUUAAACGAUAUCAACACUGCAAUAAAAUAUAUUUAGAUACACACAGUAUCUAUUUGGACAUAUGAUUAUCACUAAUCUGCUUAUGCAAGGUAUCGUUCAAGCCAGGAAAAGCACCCUUUUCUAUUGAAGGCACAACAGAUCCCAACAGAUCAAGCAGCUAUUCUCCGAAGAAAGUCAAAAAAAGGAAACUGAUGAAACGUGAUUAUGAUAUUAGAUCGUUUGCAAAACGGAAAAGACAACAGAAAAAAACAAUUCGAGUGAUGAAUCAGACAUUGCUGAAUCAACUGAAGUUAUCGAAUGUACUGUUGAUGAAAUAGAUGGGACAAUACCCGGAAAAGAACGGGUAAGUUACAGUAUAUUAGAGCAUUGCUGAAAGCAUGCUCUGUCCGGAGCUCCCGAAAAUCUGGAGGAUCGCUCAGUUUUCACGACAUGGAAAAAGAAAUCCAAGAAGCAGAACACCUCCUGGUAGGAGCCAAGUUUCCAAAGGCUGUUCCAACUAGAGUUAAAAAUUUUCUGAAAACUUGGUAUUUUCAAAACGAAUUGCAGUCGUGCAAAAGCUAUGAAAUCGAUGACUUUAUGCAGUGGACGGGAGAAGCACGGGACUGGAGAUACGAGAACAAAUCCAUGCACGCUAUUUAUCACAUACUGACUUAUCAUCAUCGCCGAAGAUGGGUUACUGACAAAAUUAAUAAAAAAUAGAAUUGAACAAAAAAUAAGUAUUUUAUGCUUAGACUACGGUUUCAGAUAAGUGAAACGUGCUGUUCUAAAAGUUUUAAAUUAAUUUUUGUUUUAUCUCUAGACAAGAAACAAUA